rnacentral:rRNA from 1 species
GAUCUCAGUUCUAGUCGGGCGGUCCGCCUAACGGCGGUAACUGCCCGUUCUGAACAAGCCAGCCGGUUUCCCUUGAUGAUCUUCACCGGUUGUCUCGGUUGACCGGCAAGUUUACUUUGAAUAAAUUAGAGUGCUUAAAGCAGGCGUGACGCCUGAACAAUGGUGCAUGGAAUAAUGGAAUAGGACCUCGGUUCUAUUUUGUUGGUUUUCGGAACACGAGGUAAUGAUUAAGAAGAACAGACGGGGGCAUUCGUAUUGCGACGCUAGAGGUGAAAUUCUUGGACCGUCGCAAGACGAACUACUGCGAAAGCAUUUGCCAAGAAUGUUUCCAUUAAUCAAGAACGAAAGUUAGAGGAUCGAAGGCGAUCAGAUACCGCCCUAGUUCUAACCAUAAACGAUGCCAGCCAGCGAUCCGGCUGUGUUCCUCAAAUGACACGCCGGGCAGCUUCCGGGAAACCAAAGCUUUUGGGUUCCGGGGGAAGUAUGGUUGCAAAGCUGAAACUUAAAGG